rnacentral:rRNA from 1 species
GAGGCCUAACACAUGCAAGUCGAGCGAACUCUUCGGAGUUAGCGGCGGACGGGUGAGUAACGCGUGGGAAUGUGCCUCGGGGUGCGGAACAACAGCUGGAAACGGCUGCUAAUACCGCAUGAUGUCUACGGACCAAAGAUUUAUCGCCCCGAGAUCAGCCCGCGUUGGAUUAGCUAGUUGGUGGGGUAAUGGCCCACCAAGGCGACGAUCCAUAUCUGGUUUGAGAGGAUGAUCAGACACACUGGGACUGAGACACGGCCCAGACUCCUACGGGAGGCAGCAGUGGGGAAUCUUGGACAAUGGGCGCAAGCCUGAUCCAGCCAUGCCGCGUGAGUGAAGAAGGCCCUAGGGUCGUAAAGCUCUUUCACCGGUGAAGAUAAUGACGGUAGCCGGAUAAGAAGCCCCGGCUAACUCCGUGCCAGCAGCCGCGGUAAUACGGAGGGGGCUAGCGUUGUUCGGAAUUACUGGGCGUAAAGCGCGCGUAGGCGGGCUGUUAAGUCGGGGGUGAAAUCCCGGGGCUCAACCCCGGAACUGCCUCCGAUACUGGCAGCCUAGAGAUCUGGAGAGGCGAGUGGAAUUCCGAGUGUAGAGGUGAAAUUCGUAGAUAUUCGGAGGAACACCAGUGGCGAAGGCGGCUCGCUGGCCAGAUACUGACGCUGAGGCGCGAAAGCGUGGGGAGCAAACAGGAUUAGAUACCCUG